GAUGAACGCUGACAGAAUGCUUAACACAUGCAAGUCAACUUGAAUUUGGGUUUUUAACUUAGAUUUGGGUGGCGGACGGGUGAGUAACGCGUAAAGAACUUGCCUCACAGCUAGGGACAACAUUUAGAAAUGAAUGCUAAUACCUGAUAUUAUGAUUUUAAGGCAUCUUAGAAUUAUGAAAGCUAUAAGCACUGUGAGAGAGCUUUGCGUCCCAUUAGCUAGUUGGAGAGGUAACAGCUCACCAAGGCGAUGAUGGGUAGCCGGCCUGAGAGGGUGAACGGCCACAAGGGGACUGAGACACGGCCCUUACUCCUACGGGAGGCAGCAGUGGGGAAUAUUGGACAAUGGACCGAAAGUCUGAUCCAGCAAUUCUGUGUGCACGAUGAAGUUUUUCGGAAUGUAAAGUGCUUUCAGUUGGGAAGAAAGAAAUGACGGUACCAACAGAAGAAGUGACGGCUAAAUACGUGCCAGCAGCCGCGGUAAUACGUAUGUCACGAGCGUUAUCCGGAUUUAUUGGGUGUAAAGCGCGUCUAGGUGGUUAUGUAAGUCUGAUGUGAAAAUGCAGGGCUCAACUCUGUAUUGCGUUGGAAACUGUAUAACUAGAGUACUGGAGAGGUAAGCGGAACUACAAGUGUAGAGGUGAAAUUCGUAGAUAUUUGUAGGAAUGCCGAUGGGGAAGCCAGCUUACUGGACAGAUACUGACGCUAAAGCGCGAAAGCGUGGGUAGCAAACAGG
rnacentral:rRNA from 1 species